rnacentral:rRNA from 1 species
UACGUAGGCAGCAAGCGUUGUUCGGAAUUACUGGGCGUAAAGAGUGUGUAGGCGGUGCUCUAAGUCUGUUGUGAAAUCUCCCGGCUUAACCGGGAGGGUGCGGCGGAAACUGGAGUGCUUGAGGGUGGGAGAGGUAAGCGGAAUUCCUGGUGUAGCGGUGAAAUGCGUUGAUAUCAGGAGGAACACCCAUGGCGAAGGCAGCAAACUGGCCGGCAUCUGACGCUGAGGCGCGAAAGCGUGGGUAGCAAACAGG